rnacentral:rRNA from 1 species
GGCUCAUUAAAUCAGUUAUCGUUUAUUUGAUAGUACCUUACUACUUGGAUAACCGUGGUAAUUCUAGAGCUAAUACAUGCUAAAAACCCCGACUUCGGGAGGGGUGUAUUUAUUAGAUAAAAAACCAACGCCUUCACGGGCUUCUUGGUGAUUCAUAAUAACUCAACGGAUCGCAUGGCCUUGCGCCGGCGACGGUUCAUUCAAAUUUCUGCCCUAUCAACUUUCGAUUGUAGGGUAUUGGCCUACAAUGGUAUUAACGGGUAACGGGGAGUUAGGGCUCGACUCCGGAGAGGGAGCCUGAGAAACGGCUACCACAUCCAAGGAAGGCAGCAGGCGCGCAAAUUACCCAAUCCCGACACGGGGAGGUAGUGACAAUAAAUACUGAUACGGGGCUCUUUUGGGUCUCGUAAUUGGAAUGAGUACAAUUUAAAUACCUUAACGAGGAACAAUUGGAGGGCAAGUCUGGUGCCAGCAGCCGCGGUAAUUCCAGCUCCAAUAGCGUAUAUUAAAGUUGUUGCAGUUAAAAAGCUCGUAGUUGAACCUUGGGCCUGGCUGGCCGGUCCGCCUCACCGCGUGCACUGGUCCGGCCGGGCCUUUCCUUCCGGAGAACCCCAUGUCCUUCGCUGGACGUGGUGGGGAACCGGGACUUUUACUUUGAAAAAAUUAGAGUGUUCAAAGCAGGCCUUUGCUCGAAUACGUUAGCAUGGAAUAAUAGAAUAGGACGUGCGGUCCUAUUUUGUUGGUUUCUAGGACCGCCGUAAUGAUUAAUAGGGAUAGUCGGGGGCAUCAGUAUUCAAUUGUCAGAGGUGAAAUUCUUGGAUUUAUUGAAGACUAACUACUGCGAAAGCAUUUGCCAAGGAUGUUUUCAUUAAUCAGUGAACGAAAGUUAGGGGAUCGAAGACGAUCAGAUACCGUCGUAGUCUUAACCGUAAACUAUGCCGACUAGGGAUCGGGCGAUGUUAUUAUUUUGACUCGCUCGGCAC